GGCGGCUUUUCAUAGGUAGUAACGGUCUUAAAAACCGUUAGAUUGCAAGCUCGCAUGGGUUCGAAUCCCAUCCUCUCCGCCA
rnacentral:tRNA from 2 species